GACGAACGCUGGCGGCGCGCCUAAUACAUGCAAGUCGAGCGGACAGAAGGGAGCUUGCUCCCGGAAGUUAGCGGCGGACGGGUGAGUAACACGUGGGCAACCUACCCUGUAGAUCGGGAUAACAUUGAGAAAUCGGUGCUAAUACCGGAUAAUCAUUUGAAGUGCCUGCUUCGAAUGUAAAAGAUGGCUCCGGCUAUCACUACGGGAUGGGCCCGCGGCGCAUUAGCUAGUUGGUAAGGUAAUGGCUUACCAAGGCAACGAUGCGUAGCCGACCUGAGAGGGUGAUCGGCCACACUGGGACUGAGACACGGCCCAGACUCCUACGGGAGGCAGCAGUAGGGAAUCUUCCGCAAUGGACGAAAGUCUGACAGAGCAACGCCGCGUGAGUGAUGAAGGUUUUCGGAUCGUAAAGCUCUGUUGUUAGGGAAGAACAAGUGCCGUUUGAAUAAGGCGGCACCUUGACGGUACCUAACCAGAAAGCCACGGCUAACUACGUGCCAGCCGCCGCAGUAACAC
rnacentral:rRNA from 1 species